GAUGAACGCUGGCGGCGUGCCUAAUACAUGCAAGUCGAGCGAACGGACGAGAAGCUUGCUGCUCUGAUGUUAGCGGCGGGCGGGAGAGUAACACGUGGAUAACCUACCUAUAAUACGGAUAUAACUUCGGGAAACGGGAUCUAACACCGGAGAAUCUUUUGAACCGCAGGGGUCAAAGGUGAAAUACGGUCUUGCUGUAACUACUCGCUGCAUCCGGGCUGCAUUAGCUAGUAGGUAAGGUAACGGCUUAAGAAGGCAACGAUGCAUAGCCGACCGGAGAGGGGGAUAGGCCACCUGGGAACGGAGACAGGGUCCAGAGGCCUACGGGAGGCAGCAGUAGGGAACCGGACGCAAUGGGCGAAAGUCUGACGGAGUAAGGCCGCGUGAGUGACGAAGGCCUUCGGAUCGUAAAACCGUGUUAUGAGGGAAGAACAUAUGUGUAAGGAAAUGUGCACAUCGUGACGGUACCUAAUAAGAAAGCCACGGCUAACUACGUG
rnacentral:rRNA from 1 species